rnacentral:rRNA from 1 species
GGGGAGUACGGCCGCAAGGCUUAAACUCAAAGGAAUUGACGGGGGCCCGCACAAGCGGCGGAGCAUGCGGAUUAAUUCGAUGCAACGCGAAGAACCUUACUUGGGUUUGACAUAUAGAGAAAUCCUCCAGAGAUGGGGGUCCCGUAAGGGCUCUAUACAGGUGGUGCAUGGCUGUCGUCAGCUCGUGUCGUGAGAUGUUGGGUUAAGUCCCGCAACGAGCGCAACCCUCGUCUUAUGUUGCCAGCACGUCAUGGUGGGGACUCAUAAGAGACUGCCGGGGUCAACUCGGAGGAAGGUGGGGAUGACGUCAAGUCAUCAUGCCCCUUAUGUCCAGGGCUUCACGCAUGCUACAAUGGCCGGUACAAAGGGCUGCGAAGCCGUAAGGUGGAGCGAAUCCCAAAAAGCCGGUCUCAGUUCGGAUUGGGGUCUGCAACUCGACCCCA